GGCGGAAGGAGCCCGUGGCGGCGGCAACUACAGCGAAAUGGCGGAGACCGUGGCUGACACCUGGCGGCUGAUCACCAAGCCGCAGAACCUGAAUGACGCCUACGGGCCCCCCAGCAACUUCCUCGAGAUCGAUAUGAGCAACCCUCAGACGGUGGGGGUCGGCCAGGGCCGCUUCACCACCUACGAAAUCAGGGUCAAGACAAAUCUUCCUAUUUUCAAGCUGAAAGAAUCUGCUGUUAGAAGAAGAUACAGUGACCUUGAAUGGCUGCGAAGUGAAUUAGAAAGAGAGAGCAAGGUUGUAGUUCCCUCGCUCCCUGGGAAAGUGUUUUUGCAUCAGCUUCCUUUUAGAGGCGAUGAUGGAAUAUUUGAUGACAAUUUUAUUGAGGAAAGAAAACAAGGGCUGGAGCAGUUUAUAAACAAGGCUGCUGGUCAUCCUCUGGCACAGAAUGAACGUUGUCUUCACAUGUUUUUACAAGAUGAAAUAAUAGAUAAAAGCUAUACUCCAUCUAAAAUAAGACAUCCCUGAAAUUUGGCAAGAAGGGGCAAAAACGUGACUAUUAAUGAUUGACAUGCACCAGCGAAGAAGUUCUAACUUUUACCAUGCUGCUCAGAAACUGGUAUAACAUGCCUUCAGUAUACUAACACUCAUGCUCGGUUUUGUUUUGGCAGUUGACAAGAAGUUAAUUUGCUUUAGUGAAAAUCCGUCAUUCAAGCCUUUCUAUAUGAAUAGCUCUUUCUUGCUGUUUUAAUGUGGGGCACACUAUAGCCUCACAAACCCGUUAUUCCAAUGUCAUCUGCAGUGUCCUAACUAAAGUUGCUGGCUUGGUCUUAUUUGCACAGUUUUUGUGUCUUCUUUGCUUCUUGCAUUUGAUUAACCACAAUAUUUCUCUUUCCCCCUUUUAAUGUGUCUGUGUCACUUGACCUAAUUUAUGUGUAGGAGCACCACACCAUUGGUUUCCAAUACUGCACACAUAAGACACAUAUAUGUGUGCAGAAAGCAUCUUCCUUUAGGCUUGUAAUACCCUUCACAUGGAAGAUUAAUGAGGGAAAUCUUUAUAAUCUGUAUAAAAACAAAAUCAAAUUUAUACACUAAAAUCAUUUGUCUAAAAAUUUAAGUUGUUUUCAAAUAAAAAUUAAAAUGCAUUUCUGA